rnacentral:lncRNA from 1 species
CAACAGAGCAUCGGUCAUUUCAAUAUUCUGAUUGCAUAGUUACCUUCAUUGGGAAUUCUGAUCACAACAAAUCCACAUCAUCUGCUGAUGUUUCCUAACCCUGCAGAGGAUGCUGAGAUGAGGGGCAGUGAGGCAUUGAAAUACAGAAGUACAGCAGGAGCAGGAGAAGAGGGCUCCAAAGGUUCUUCAGACACACAGCUUCUUGCUACUGCUAUGAAGAAACACUCAAGCUUGCACAUGACAGCAGAUUGGGAGCAGGACAGCCAGGAGGGAACUCAGUGCAGGAGGAAGGAAGGGGAAGAUCUCACAACAACCAUCAGCAGCACAGAACCAAAACCCUUGCCAAAACCCAGCAGCUGACCAAAGGUCUCAGUGAUAGAAAUAUGCUAUUGUCACAGAAUAUAUAACUAGCAAACCAAUUUUUUUUUGUUGUUGUUCACACUUUUAUUACAAAAUUACACUUUCAUUUAAUAGUUGCACAACCACCAGAUUGUUUUGAUGUCAGUGCUUCGUGAAACACUCUGAUCUCGUUCAACCCCACUGAAGCCAAGUGCAAAAUCCAUCCUGAUAUAAAUAGUUUUCCAGCUGAGUUCUUCAAACAUAGAGUAAAUUAAGGUAUAGCUUGUUCUAACAAUGAAGUGAAAUUAUUCAAAAUCAAUUAUCACAUAAAAGGCAUCCCAAAUUAGAAGCUCACUGAGCUUACAACUUAACAUCCCAGCCCCAAAUGGAAAUCCAUGCAUCACUGAACCAAAGCAAUCAGACUCCAGAACACUUACUUGAAAGAAAAAAAGAAGAAUUUCCUCCUUUCCUGCCCCAUGCAGAAACUGCUGCCGUUAGCUGAGACCACCAACAGCAACCAGAGUAACCACAGCUGAGGAUGCUCCACCAUCAGACCUCCGCCAGCAUCACAGAGACUUCCAAGCACAAACAGCCCACUGCUCCUUCUGCCUUUGC